UACGGAGGGUGCAAGCGUUAUCCAGAUUCACUGGGUUUAAAGGGUGCGUAGGCGGGCAGGUAAGUCCGUGGUGAAAUCUCUGAGCUUAACUCAGAAACUGCCAUGGAUACUAUCUGUCUUGAAUAUUGUGGAGGUAAGCGGAAUAUGUCAUGUAGCGGUGAAAUGCUUAGAUAUGACAUAGAACACCCAUUGCGAAGGCAGCUUACUACACAAAUUUAUUGACGCUGAGGCACGAAAGCGUGGGGAUCAAACAGG
rnacentral:rRNA from 1 species